AAUAUGGUUCAUUGGUUCAUUUUCUCAAGUCGUCUUCUUCCAUUUCCUCCACGCACGGCCUUAUUCACGUCUGGCAGUGAGAGAGAUCGGGAUGUCGAGGUGUGUUUUUGUGCCGGAAUGCUGCAGGAGGGGCUGAAGGAGUGAAGAUGAGUCGGAUGACUGACUUGACUGCUGGUUUGACGCGUGAGGCAGCUGUAACUACAAGGAGAAGUCUCCCUACCUCUGGGCGUCCCGAAUGUGUCAUUGCUUAAACAGUAUGUGGCGGUGCCUAGCCUAACUUGACCUAACCUUGUGUCAACAUGCAAGCGAAUUAAGCGUCCCUUCAUUCACUGUAGCUGUGGUUGCCUCGAUCUAGUCCGCCGACCGCCAGCGCCGUGCAGAUUGGAUGAACGGUAGACUCAUGGUGCCAGAUCUGCUUCACUCGCGACUCCAGAAGUCGCGGCCGUGAAGCUACGGUGGCUAAAUAUAGCAGAGUUCUGGAAGCCGCACACUACGUGGUACAUGUCUGCAAGCGCCAAACCACAAGGCUGACACCGGCGUCCCUACACUUCCGCACUACUAACUUUGUAGAGCCACAUCUAUCUCAAGGAAUAUACAAGAAUCCUAGGUUUCACCCGAACCAACUCCUCGGCCACAGCAGCGCUCCAGCCGGACCUGUACCCGCCCAAACGUCUGAGAAGCCCCGGUAUCCUGCUCCUUCUCUUCUGUGUCCAUGUGAUAGUCCAUCUUCAGGUCGUCCAGACCACGGAGAUGUGCGGUCUGGCACAGGUCCUGCCACUAAUGAAGGGAGAACCAAACUAGCGUGUCUUAACAAAACCCAACCUGCGGCAGGAAAUUGGCUCUUCUUUAGAAGACGCCAACUGUCUCGCUGCACCUUCGAGUGGCUUGGACGGAGGAAUUGCCUCGCACCAGCGGUACCAUGACAACGUGUUGCCAUCCAGGGAGGGAGGACACCCUACCUCGCUGCACUUUCCACGGAGGAAUCGGACCCUGGCUCGCACCAACACUGCCCCUGAGAACACGUGGUGACAUCCAAGGAUUCUAUAUUUUAUCAUCCUUGGUGACAUCCAGGGAGGGCGGACACACUGCCUCGCAGCAGCUUUGUCUUGGUAACUCGUGGUACCAUCCAGAAAGGGAGGACAGGCUGCCUCGCUUCAUCUAGCCUAGCCUAACCUAACCAAUACAUGUUGCCAAUCACUCCUGUAAUGUUUUUCAUUCCUUCUGUCUAAUGUAAUGUACCCACAAGUGUAUAAUAUUCCUUCACGAGUAAUAUUAUUCUGUUCUGUGAUGUACCAAUGUAACUGGUUAGUACAUAUAAUAAAUCAUGAUAAAAGGAAA